AACCAGUGAUGAAAAGAUUCUGCCAAAUGAUUAUAUUGAUUAUAACCCUUACCGUUCCAUUAUUUCUGAGGUU
rnacentral:snoRNA from 1 species